CCUACGGGUGGCAGCAGUGGGGGAUAUUGCACAAUGGGCGGAACCCUGAUGCAGCGACGCCGCGUGUGCGAAGAAGUACUUCGGGUUGUAAAGCUCUCUCAGCAGGGAAGAAAAUGACGCUGCCUGACUAAGAAGCCCCGGCCAAAUACGGGCCAGCAGCCGCGGUAAUACGUAGGGGGCACGCCUUAUCCGGAUGGACGGGGUGUAAAGGGAUCGGAGGCGGCCUGGCAAGUCUGGUGUGAAGACCCCGUGCCCAACCCCGGGCCUGCAUUGGAAACUGGCCGGCUGGAGUGUCGGAGGGGCAGGCGGAAUUCCUAGUGUAGCGGUGAAAUGCGUAGAGAUUAGGAG
rnacentral:rRNA from 1 species